UACAGAGGUCCCGAGCGUUGUUCGGAUUCACUGGGCGUAAAGGGUGCGCAGGUGGGUUUGCAAGUUCGAUGUGAAAGCCCCGGGCUUAACCCGGGAAUGGCAUUGGAUACUGCAGAUCUGGAGGAUCGGAGGGGGGACUGGAAUUCUUGGUGUAGCAGUGAAAUGCGUAGAUAUCAGGAGGAACACCGGUGGCGAAGGCGGGUCUCUGGGCCGAUACUGACGCUGAGGAGCGAAAGCAUGGGUAGCGAACAGG
rnacentral:rRNA from 1 species